GCAACUGCCAGACCAAGGCAGGGAAGAAACAAAGCUGGCUGGCAGCUGGGUCUUGCAAGGCCAGAAAAGGUUGGAAGGGCUUUCGCCUCCUGAUAUCAGAGUGUAACAGUGCCAGAUUGGCAGCUUCAGCCCUUACAAUCCCGUAGACCGAAUCCUAGCGUUCACUAUGGCCAUUGUGAGCAGCCCAUUCUGCUACCAACUCUGGGAGCAGAAACUCUUGUGUACCCAAAGCUUGGCCCUAGUUCUUUGUUGGCUUCUGAUCCAUGACAAAAGGCUCCUUCAGAUUUACAGUGGCUCCCACAGCUCCUGACCCAGAGAAUUAUAAUUCUCCUGUAGAAGUAAAUAGUGCUCAUCAGUGGUUUGAGUUGACUGUUAAGCUAUUUUAAUGGCUUAUUUUUGUGCAUUUGCUACUUCAUUU
rnacentral:lncRNA from 1 species